UACAGAGGGGGCAAGCGUUAUUCGGAAUCACUGGGCGUAAAGCGCACGUAGGCGGAUCUUUAAGUCAGGGGUGAAAUCCUGGAGCUCAACUCCAGAACUGCCUUUGAUACUGGGGAUCUCGAGUCCGGGAGAGGUGAGUGGAACUGCGAGUGUAGAGGUGAAAUUCGUAGAUAUUCGCAAGAACACCAGUGGCGAAGGCGGCUCACUGGCCCGGUACUGACGCUCAGGCGCGAUAGCGUGGGGAUCAAACAGG
rnacentral:rRNA from 1 species